AGGGAAACCGAGUCUUAACUGGGCGUUAAGUUGCAGGGUAUAGACCCGAAACCCGGUGAUCUAGCCAUGGGCAGGUUGAAGGUUGGGUAACACUAACUGGAGGACCGAACCGACUAAUGUUGAAAAAUUAGCGGAUGACUUGUGGCUGGGGGUGAAAGGCCAAUCAAACCGGGAGAUAGCUGGUUCUCCCCGAAAGCUAUUUAGGUAGCGCCUCGUGAACUCAUCUUCGGGGGUAGAGCACUGUUUCGGCUAGGGGGUCAUCCCGACUUACCAACCCGAUGCAAACUGCGAAUACCGAAGAAUGUUAUCACGGGAGACACACGGCGGGUGCUAACGUCCGUCGUGAAGAGGGAAACAACCCAGACCGCCAGCUAAGGUCCCAAAGUCACAGUUAAGUGGGAAACGAUGUGGGAAGGCUCAGACAGCCAGGAUGUUGGCUUAGAAGCAGCCAUCAUUUAAAGAAAGCGUAAUAGCUCACUGGUCGAGUCGGCCUGCGCGGAAGAUGUAACGGGGCUAAACUGUGCACCGAAGCUGCGGCAGCGACGCUUAUGCGUUGUUGGGUAGGGGAGCGUUCUGUAAGCCUGCGAAGGUGUCCUGUGAGGGAUGCUGGAGGUAUCAGAAGUGCGAAUGCUGACAUAAGUAACGAUAAUGCGGGUGAAAAGCCCGCUCGCCGGAAGACCAAGGGUUCCUGUCCAACGUUAAUCGGGGCAGGGUGAGUCGACCCCUAAGGCGA
rnacentral:rRNA from 1 species